GCUGACGGAGUUAUAGCGCGGUACUAACGCACUCGUAAUGCGUAGGCCGGGGGUUCAAUUCCCUUCACCAGCA
rnacentral:tRNA from 1 species